AUACGGAGGGUCCAAGCGUUAUCCGGAAUCAUUGGGUUUAAAGGGUCCGCAGGCGGUCAAUUAAGUCAGAGGUGAAAGCCCAUCGCUCAACGAUGGAACUGCCUUUGAUACUGGUUGAAUUGAGUUAUACGGAAGUAGAUAGAAUAAGUAGUGUAGCGGUGAAAUGCAUAGAUAUUACUUAGAAUACCGAUUGCGAAGGCAGUCUACUACGUAUAUACUGACGCUGAGGGACAAAAGCGUGGGGAGCGAACAGGAUUAGAAACCCUUGUAGUCC
rnacentral:rRNA from 1 species